rnacentral:tRNA from 1 species
GCUCAGUUGGUUUAGCGUAGGACUCUUGAUUUUGACUCAAGUCAUGAUUUCACUGUUCGUGGGUUUGAGCCCCAUGUUGGGCU